rnacentral:rRNA from 1 species
UACGUAGGGGGCGAGCGUUAUCCGGAUUCACUGGGUGUAAAGGGAGCGUAGACGGCCAAGCAAGCCAGGGGUGAAAGCCCGGGGCCCAACCCCGGGACUGCCCUUGGAACUGCAUGGCUGGAGUGUCGGAGAGGCAGGCGGAAUUCCUAGUGUAGCGGUGAAAUGCGUAGAUAUUAGGAGGAACACCAGUGGCGAAGGCGGCCUGCUGGACGAUGACUGACGUUGAGGCUCGAAAGCGUGGGGAGCAAACAGG